GCCCAAUCCUCUCCCUCGUCUUCCCACCCGCGAUUCACUCCCCCCCACCCAACGCCAUGGCCGCCGCCACCACCCACCGCCCACCUCGUCUCCCUCACCGGCACCGCCCCCUCACCUUCCUCUCCGCUCCUGCCUCGCGACGAUCCAGCAGUCCAAGCGGCUGCCAUGGCGUUCCCGGCCUGCAGCGGUGCUUCCCGAUCCACGCCAUCUCUACCUCGCCGUCAAUGUCUGCGCACUCGCCCGUCUCAUCUCCGCGGUCACACAGACCCCUUCGUGGUCGCCGCCGCUGCCCCCAACCCCUCCUUAUCCGUUAGGGUUAGGGUUUGUGGUUGGAGCGGGGAAGAGAUCGACCGGCGCCGGCGAUGGACGCGCUGAUGGAUAGUCGCGGGAUCUGACAGAGGAGGAGAAGAAGGACCACUGGGAGGUGCCCUUCCACGACCCCUUCUCUUCAUCCACACCCUCCCAAGGUCCACGUCCCAGCCUUCAAGCAAAGUUUCAAGACAAACGCUGACGUCGUCUGCCUCCUGCACUUCUUAUCCGGUCUCCUGAUACAUACAGAGCACUUGAAGAGCCAGAAUAUCCGGUUCUUGCUGAGAUCGAUGAACGGCACAGACGUUGUCCGCCUCUGCUCCAUCGCCAGCCUAGUUUCAACACGAAAGCUGAUGCUGUCUGCCUUCUGCACUUCUUCUCCUCCGGUCUCCUGAUACAUAGAGAGCACUUGACGAGCUAGAGUAGCCGGUGCGUGCUGCGCGGCGAGGAAGGACAGCACAGACGUGAAGCAAGUCAGUGAACUGGAAAAUAGAAGCAUUUUAUUCUUAUAUCGGACAGCUGCAGUUCCAAACUUUGAAGAAAGAAAAUGUUCAUGAUAUUGUGAUUCUGCCAACAUAUGGCCUUUUAUUUUGCAAUCUUGAAGGCCUGUUCGGGUUCAAUUAACAGUAAAGGUGAGAAAGCAUCCUGAAGGUAUUGCCACUCCUCAUGGCUGUUCAUAUCCUCUCUUUUUUUAAUGUUAUCGAGGUCUCAAGUUGUUUGCCUUUUUCGGUAGUCGAAUUCCACAAUUUUUUUGCGCUUGAAACACUUGAGAGUGGAUUCGUAAAAGAACCUUAGACAGCCAAUUAACUGACCAAUGUAGUGUCAUGCUUAUUUUACGAGCUCUGGUGAAGUGUGAAAAAUACCGCUACUAUCAUCGUAGGCGAAAUAGAUUGUUGUCUUUGUCUAGUUUCUUACUUUGGAGAUGUACCCACUUACAGCCAAGGAUCUCUUCAGAAUAAUACAUAAGUAAAUCUUGCUGAUCUUAAGAAGAUGCACUAUGAGUAAAACAAUGAAUCAUCAGGAUUAUGAGAUGCAGUUCGGUGAACACCCUUUUUAUGUGAGAAAAUGCAUCAUCUAAUUUUUAAAGCAUAACCCUCAUGGGGAAGGAUGAUUGUGAUUUUAUUUCCACUUGUUCUUAUUUUUCUCAUGGGAAAUGACAUGGCUGAAUUUGGCAACUGUUUUGAUGUGGUUGCUGCCUUAUGAUUUUCCUUGAAGAUUGGUGAAUGACAAAGCUAAACUGCAGUUUGUGUAUCAUGAUGUCUAUCAUGCAGUUUGUGUAUCACGAUGUCUGUGUAAGUUUGUAUUGACAUGGCCUUUCGUAAAUUGAGAACGAGGUCUUAUAAUAUGUUCGUGUAGUUUUGGUGCUUUUUAAUCCUAGCAUUACCCCAACUUGAAAAUUGUUUACUCAGUGUGUUAAUUCGCGGCUGAUGAGUUAAUUAAUCCACUUUGAGUAUUAAAGCCAGCUGAACCUGAAUGCUUUUGUGAUGAUCCACCUCAUAUAUGUUUUAGAAGUAUGUGCAAACAGGAAAGGUAUCAUCGAUGGAUGAUAUGAGAUUGUGCUUUCAUGUCAGCAUUGCAAAACUUUAACCACAAAAAAACCAUGUUUAUUUAUCACGACCUUGUUUAAAUUGUGUACAGAAGCAAGCCAGUGAACUGGAAAAGAGAAGCAUUUUAUUCUUAUAUCUGACAGUUGCAGUUCCAAUCUUUGAAGAAAGAAAAUGUUCAUAUUAUUGUACUUCCGCAAAAAUAUGUCCUUUUUUUUGCAAUCUUCAAGGCCCUGUUCUGGUUCAGUAUAGUAAAUAUGAGAAACCAUGCUAUUCUCCAUUGCAAAAAAUGCUGAUUAUAUUAAAAGUUUAAAAGAAGGAAACCAAUACUGAAGGUAUUGGAACUCCUCUUGCCUGUUCCUAUCCUUUAUUUUUAUGUUAUUGCGGGCUCAAGUUUGCCUUUUUGUUAGUGGAAUUCCAAAACUUAUGUCGCAGUUAAAACAUUUGGAGAGUGGACUUAAGCACUACACAAUUAACUGGCUGCUUAGUGUCAUGCUGAUUUUACGAGGUGUGGUGAAGUGUGAUAAAUAUCGUUGGUAUGAUCUUAAGCUAAAUAGGUUGUUGUCUUUAUCUAGUUUCUUACUCUGGAUAUGUACCCUCUUACAGCCAAUGAUCUCUUCAGAGUAAUAUAUAAGUAAAUCAUGCUGAUCUUAAGCAAGAUGCACUGCAGACAUUCUUGUCGCUCAUUACUGGAGUUGCUGGUAUGUGGGGAUUCAUGGGUCCGAUGUGUUUCGUCUUCUACUUUCUGAUAAUGAUGGUAGCAUCUAUUGGGCUCUUGGCAAAGUCAAAGUUCUUAGUCCACUUGUACUUCGAUUGUUGGAGCAGGAGUUUGGUCAAAGGAGUUUUUGGCGGCCUUUGAUGUGAAGCACGACAGUGACGGUGGUGGGCCGCCUUUGCUUCGGGUGCCAAUGAGACGGCAGGGUUGUCGCCCCAUAACCUCAGCGUUGGUUCCUAUGACUGACUUGUUUACCACUACGU